rnacentral:rRNA from 1 species
AAUGAACGCUGGCGGCGUGCCUAACACAUGCAAGUCGAGCGAGAAAGUCUCUUCGGAGAUAAGUACAGCGGCGGACGGGUGAGUAACGCGUGAGAAUUUACCCUUUAGUGAAGAAUACCUCUGAGAAAUCAGGGUUAAUACUGCAUACGUCCCUACGGGGAGAAAGGUGGCCUCUUUGCUGCCGCUAAAGGAUAAGCUUGCGUACUAUUAGCUAGUUGGUGAGGUAAAGGCUCACCAAGGCGAUGAUGGUUAGCCGGCCUGAGAGGGUGUACGGCCACACUGGAACUUAGACACGGUCCAGACUCCUACGGGAGGCAGCAGUGAGGAAUAUUGCGCAAUGGGCGAAAAGCCUGACGCAGCGACGCCGCGUGGAGGAUGAAGGUCUUCGGAUUGUAAAACUCCUGUUAAAGUGGGAAGAAAGAACCUAUUUCUAAUACAGAUAGGGGAUGACGGUACCAUUAGAGAAAGCACCGGCUAACUUACGUGCCAGCAGCCGCGGUAA